GUCCCGGCAUCCAUCACCCCGCGCUUUCCAACACCAUCUUGGGGGCGGGGCCUUACUGAACACGGUUUCGCGGGCAGCCUGCGGGGACAGCGCCCCGCACUGAGGAUGUGGGUCACAGCGACACGCGGCCACCCGGCGGCCCACAGCGUGGGCCCUCGGCGACGCGGGGCCUCGGGGCGCGACUUCCCCCGGCCCGAACCGGGAGGCGGAGGUCGCCAGGUGCCCGGCACCCGGCCCUGCAGAACGAAGCCUCUCGCCGGCUCCCGGACGGUCGCCCGGUGGCGCCGGGUUCAGCCCGGGUUUGGUGGCCCCGCGCGGCCCAGCACCCGGUGACCUUCAGGUCCCUGCGCUCGGGCCGCGGUCACGAGGGCCACGCCCACCCGAGUACUUUCCAGAACCCGCCCGGGACGUCCUGGGGGGACCCGCGGCGGGGCAGCGAGAGCCGGAGACAACCGCGACCCCACCUGCCGUCACCUCACGCGACGGGGCGGAGCCGCCCGAGCUAAAUUUAGCCACGAGCGCCCUCCCCUGCGGCUACCCCCGCGGAGAGCGCGCUGACGUCAGCGCUUCACCCAAGGGUGACGUCAGCGCGCCGCGGGGAGGCUGAGCUAGAAUGUUCACGGAGUUUCGAUGCCUUAAAGGGACCAGGUCUGGGGUCCAGAAGGAGGUCCCGAAGGAGGGCCAGGCGAGAGAGCCGGGUCUUCUGGCCUUUGUACUGCAGUGUUGGCUGUUGAGACAGUGAUGAUCGCAGAGAGCACAGCCUCCUUUGGAGGCUCCCGAAGUCCUUCUGGACCCUCCUCCUGGAAGUCCUCCUUGGUUAACCCGGGCAUCCUGCUGCCCGGUGAUCCUGACCCAAUAGUUUAGAGUUUGCCAGGCCUCGAGCCCUUGCUUCUUAGCGUCAGCCUCGCAGCAUGUGCUUACAUCUGUGCUGGGGGAGAAAGGCUGAGGUUUCAGUGUUUCCGACACCCACCAAUCUGUGAGAUCCAGCGAGGCGCAUUUAUCACCAUCACAUUACUCAUGAGCUCUGAAUCCAGUUAUUAACCUCUCUGGAUGUUAACUUCGCGGCCUGGACUCCAAACACCUCCCCUGUGCUAACGAUGCUUGCGGAAACUUCCGGAGGGCGAGAUCCCCCUCCACGGCUUGAUAGCUCAGCCUCAAUCCCCAAUACCACAAAAGAAAAAAAAAAGUCCUUUUCCCUAGGUGUACCCACAUCUUUGGCGAUAAAGGGUGGCUCACCCUCAUCUCCACCUGACAGGUCCACCCUGGUCUCUGGGUUUCCUUUCUACCAUUGGCCGCAGCUGGGCCAGGGUAGAAGAAAUACCUUCUUUUUUAAAUUUUUUAUUUUGAGACGAGGUCUCACUACGAAGUCCUCUUGCCUCAGCCUCUGGAGUAGCUGGGAUUACAGGCAUGCACCACUGUGCUCUGCUCAGCCUCGGUUUUGUAACCGUGGGUGCUCAGGUCCAGGUGAGGCAACCAGCCUGGGAUCCAGUGGCCUGUUAGUGGGAGAGGGUCCGAGUCACCUGGCCUUCAACAUGCGUCACAGCCACCUCUGUCGUGAGACUCAGGGAUAUGAGGGCUUGUCCUCCUCGGAUGUAGGAAUCAGUCCCCGCCGGAGUGAUACACUGAGGUCCGUGGCCAUUUUUAACCCUUCGGUAAUGAAGCGCGGGUGUGUCAUCGAGCCUUUGAUUGUUUAUCUCCCCAGCACUCCACCAACCCGGAAGCUCCAUGAAAUGUCAUUAAAGCCAUAAAUGUGACGGCCACUAAUGUGGAAGGAUUGUGAUCCGGCAAACACUCCCAGCAAGCAAAAGAGCAAAAAUCUGGGUCUGCUCCCAACCGUGCUGGUGACUCAGAGUGUGACACAAAGCAAAAUGCUUUGUGGACAAAGUGUUUUGGGGACACUGCCCCGGCUCCCGGAGAGAGAGGUGGCAGGUGGGUAGGGCUCAGAGAAAGGACCCUGGGUAGAUCCCAGUUCCCGAGCUGCUCCUUGGCAGAGGCCAUGGGCCAUCCACUCGCCCUGGCCACUUGGGCACCUGCCCAGAUGGAGCCCCGAAGAUGAUGGCACUCACCCUCAUGACCUCACUGUCACAGGGAAGGAAUGCGCCCCGAUUGUGCCUAACUCCACUUUAAUAACUCCUUGCCGAUCUGGCCUCCAGGAAUUUAUUUGAAACUUUCUUUAAUCUAUUUAUAUUUCAGCCUGUACAGCCCUUUCAGGCAACAAGUAGCUUUUACCAUUUAUGUGAAAACAGCGGGGUCCUAAAACAGAAAGUGCGAUGUACGCAUUUAUUUUAACAACUGGUAAUUAUAAUAUGGUAUUGGCAAUAAACAGCAAUUUUGAGUGGAGGACCACUGUUCACUG